UACGUAGGGUGCAAGCGUUAAUCGGAAUUACUGGGCGUAAAGCGUGCGCAGGCGGUUGUGUAAGGCAGAUGGGAAAUCCCCGGGCUCAACCUGGGAACUGCAUUUGUGACUGCACGGCUCGAGUGCGGCAGAGGGGGAUGGAAUUCCGCGUGUAGCAGUGAAAUGCGUAGAUAUGCGGAGGAACACCGAUGGCGAAGGCAAUCCCCUGGGCCUGCACUGACGCUCAUGCACGAAAGCGUGGGGAGCAAACAGG
rnacentral:rRNA from 1 species